rnacentral:tmRNA from 1 species
GGGGUCGACUGGUUUUGACAGCGAGAUCAAUCGAAAAUGUAAGCAUGCCGAGUCAGGAAUCACCACUCGUUAAUCUGGGAUUCACCUUUUUAAAUGGCGAAAAUAACUACGCUUUAGCUGCUUAAUUGACUGAAUUAUAGUAAGUCUUAGCCAUGUUCCAACUAGGUUGGAAAGCUGAAUGUCUCUGGAUAGCCCUUGUUGACGGCGAUCUAAUUAGAGGCACCAUUAAAGUCAACAUCGAAAUUUUUGGGUGCCGCNAAAAUUUUUCAAUAAAGGCAAUAAGGUAGUAAUAGGCUGUUUUCUGUCAGUUACUACUCGAAAACCAAUAGAAAACUAAGCGUGUAGAAAGCCUUUUUAUUGCUUGUUUGGACGCGGGUUCGAUUCCCGCCGACUCCACUU